rnacentral:rRNA from 1 species
GUCCUAGCUGUAAACGGUGGGCACUAGGUGUAGGAGGCAUCGACCCCUCCUGUGCCGUAGCUAACGCAUUAAGUGCCCCGCCUGGGGGAGUACGACCGCAAGGUUGAAACUCAAAGGAAUUGACGGGGGCCCGCACAAGCGGUGGAGCAUGUGGUUUAAUUCGAUGCAACGCGAAGAACCUUACCCAGGUUUGACAUGCAUUGGACAGGUGUGGAAACACACCCUCCCUUCGGGGCCAUGCACAGGUGCUGCAUGGCUGUCGU